AUUGAACGCUGGCGGCAGGCCUAACACAUGCAAGUCGAGCGAGCGGCGGACGGGUGAGUAAUGUCUGGGACACUGCCUGAUGGAGGGGGAUAACUACUGGAAACGGUAGCUAAUACCGCAUACCAUCAGAUGUGCCCAGAUGGGAUUAGCUAGUAGGUGGGGAAAUGGCUCACCUAGGCGACGAUCGCUAGCUGGUCUGAGAGGAGGAAGAGCCACACGGGAACUGGGACACGGUCCAGACUCCUACGGGAGGCAGCAGUGGGGAAUAUUGCACAAUGGGCGCAAGCCUGAUGAAGCCAUGCCGGGUGUAUGAAGAAGGCCUUCGGGUUGUAAAGUACUUUCAGCGAGGAGGCGUUACCCGCAGAAGAAGCACCGGCUAACUCCGUGCCAGCCGCCGCGGUAAUUC
rnacentral:rRNA from 1 species